GGUGUUCUAAACACCCAGACCCCUAGCUGUCUCUAGGGGCGCGUCGUUGCCGUAAGCAACGUUCAAAAGGAUGUCAUCAUUUAGCGUGAAAUACCUUUAGGUUGAAGAUGUGAAUGGCAGCGUUGCGCACUGUCAGUCCUCCGGUAAAUCCGGUUUCAUGAGUCGACACAUGGAUUUGAGAUGGUGGUAAACCACCCACUCAGUGUAACGCCUGAGUUGAAUAGUAGAUGUUAAUGGAAAUGCUGUAAGGUCGGUACCCCUGAAAAGGGAUCCUGUUCGCUUGCGUGGUCAGCAUUUACCUUCUUAACAUUGUAUUAGUUUGACUGCUGGAAAGACAGCUGACUUGGAGAACAAAGUUCUAUCCGGUCUGCCAGAGAUGAAGACUUAAAUCCAAUAUCUCACCCUCUACUGGAGAGGUUAACUCCGGACGGUGGGGAUGCCGGUCCUAUCCCCUUGGUGGGUGUUCCUAAAAUAACACCCUACCCUUAUUUGUUCAGGGAAUUGAACAUCAUAUCUGCAUUUAGUAUAGUUCAUUCUGUUUUAGUCGUAGAUUCAUACGCACACAGGAGAUGAAUACCUGUGUAGUACGCGAAAGCUUCCGCUCUUAGUAGCACCACUCGCAUGGUGUCCACGAGUGCUCUGCUACGUGAUGUUCUUUAUUUAGCUUUGUAUUUUUUCAGAAUUACGGACGUAGUCCCCUCCAGAGCUGAUGUGUAGGAUGCCUGAUCCUGGUGUCAUAUUGGGUCACCCCCAUUUGAUGUAUCAGAAAGGUUCCCCGAAAUCGGCCCACGUUCCUGGCGGGAAUAGUGGAGGUCAUCUCUGAGAGUACAAAGUUUAAAAUUAUUUUGAACUCAAUGUCAGCCGAAGCAAGUAGCUAGCGUUGCAUCGGUCUCGUGUGGUUUUCAGCACGAGGCGGUCUUAAUUUAUAGGCUAUGUCUAGCCUUAGCCAAAACUAGUAGUUUGAAUUUUAAGUGUUAAGUCCAGGAGAGUAUUAGUAAGUGAGGCAAUUUCACCCUACCCCAUAUUAAGUUGGGAUGCGUGGUUGUUGCUCUUCAUGAAUCUCUCUAAUCGGUGAUACACUUAGAAGGAUAAUGAAAAGAUAGGCAUGACGAGUGGGCGUCCUCCUUUAUGACGUCAUUGAAUGGAGUAUCACAACUUCUGGCGACCGUGUAACGGCAACAGUGUUACGGUGACACUGGUGGGCUGACUGCAAUCAGUUCCAUGCGACCGGUCUUAGUAGUAUUAAGAAUGCUACAGCCAAGGGCUCCAUGAGUUCUAGUUAACGAGUAUCUACUGCCAUCCAUGCGAUGGUCCUCUAUCUUGCUUGGUAUAUGAGCCAGGUGUGCUGGUAACACACCUGUGACUUUGAAUCUUAAGCCCAAGAAUUUAGGGGGUUAUGUGGGUAGGUAGCGUUGGCUAGGGGGUUGUUUCGCGAUAUUUGUUGCCCCGUUAGUGUUUCAAAAUUCGCUUAUUGUAUGAGUGUCGGACUCAGGCAGUGUUUAGGUUUUAUUUCUUUGAUUUAGAUGUUUACUUUAAGUUUUCCUUUUACGUAAUCUUUCCGACGC
rnacentral:misc_RNA from 1 species